CGGGGUUAGUGGCGCACGGGUGCGUAACGCGUGGGAACCUGCCUUUAGGUUCGGAAUAACUCAGAGAAAUUUGAGCUAAUACCGGAUAAUGUCUUCGGACCAAAGAUUUAUCGCCUUUAGAUGGGCCCGCGUUAGAUUAGAUAGUUGGUGGGGUAACGGCCUACCAAGUCGACGAUCUAUAGCUGGUCUGAGAGGAUGAUCAGCCACACUGGGACUGAGACACGGCCCAGACUCCUACGGGAGGCAGCAGUGGGGAAUAUUGGACAAUGGGCGAAAGCCUGAUCCAGCAAUGCCGCGUGAGUGAUGAAGGCCUUAGGGUUGUAAAGCUCUUUUACUAGGGAUGAUAAUGACAGUACCUAGAGAAUAAGCUCCGGCUAACUCCGUGCCAGCAGCCGCGGUAAUACGGAGGGAGCUAGCGUUGUUCGGAAUUACUGGGCGUAAAGCGCGCGUAGGCGGCUUUUUAAGUCAGGGGUGAAAUCCCGGAGCUCAACUCCGGAACUGCCCUUGAAACUGGAAAGCUAGAAUAUUGGAGAGGUAAGUGGAAUUCCGAGUGUAGAGGUGAAAUUCGUAGAUAUUCGGAAGAACACCAGUGGCGAAGGCGACUUACUGGACAAUUAUUGACGCUGAGGUGCGAAAGCGUGGGGAGCAACAGGAUUAGAUACCCUGGUAGUCCACGCCGUAAACGAUGAUAACUAGCUGUCCGGGCUCAUAGAGCUUGGGUGGCGCAGCUAACGCAUUAAGUUAUCCGCCUGGGGAGUACGGUCGCAAGAUUAAAACUCAAAGGAAUUGACGGGGGCCUGCACAAGCGGUGGAGCAUGUGGUUUAAUUC
rnacentral:rRNA from 1 species